AACAGGAUUAGAUACCCUGGUAGUCCAUGCCGUAAACGUUGGGCGCUAGGCGUGGGCCUCAUUCCACGAGGUCCGUGUCGAAGCUAACGCAUUAAGCGCCCCGCCUGGGGAGUACGGCCGCAAGGCUAAAACUCAAAGGAAUUGACGGGGGCCCGCACAAGCGGCGGAGCAUGCUGAUUAAUUCGAUGCAACGCGAAGAACCUUACCAAGGCUUGACAUGCACCGGAUCGCCUCAGAGAUGGGGUUUUCUUCGGACUGGUGCACAGGUGGUGCAUGGUUGUCGUCAGCUCGUGUCGUGAGAUGUUGGGUUAAGUCCCGCAACGAGCGCAACCCUCGUUCUAUGUUGCCAGCACGUGAGGGUGGGGACUCAUAGGAGACUGCCGGGGUCAACUCGGAGGAAGGUGGGGACGACGUCAAAUCAUCAUGCCCCUUAUGUCUUGGGCUUCAAGCAUGCUACAAUGGCCGGUACAGAGGGUUGCGAUACCGUGAGGUGGAGCGAAUCCCAAAAAACCGGUCUCAGUUCGGAUUGGGGUCUGCAACUCGACCCCAUGAAGUCGGAGUCGCUAGUAAUCGCAGAUCAGCAACGCUGCGGUGAAUACGUUCCCGGGCCUUGUACACACCGCCCGUCAAGUCACGAAAGUCGGCAACACCCGAAGACGGUGGCCUAACCCUUGUGGAGGGAGCUGUCUAAGGUGGGGCCGGUGAUUGGGACUAAGUCGUAACAAGGUAGCCGUACCGGAAGGUGCGGCUGGAUCACCUCCUU
rnacentral:rRNA from 1 species